rnacentral:misc_RNA from 1 species
AAGUCGUAACAAGGUUUCCGUAGGUGAACCUGCGGAAGGAUCAUUAACACAAAUGUUUCCAAACCUUUUAACUUUGGCGCAUAGUUUUAUCCCUCUCAUAUCUUUCAUUGAAGUCUUGCAUUUCAAUUUGAGAUCGAAUGAGUGUCGAUUCUGCAAUGGUUGAAUCUGGCGAAUCGAUUUAAGCAGAGAGCUUUUCGGAGCUUUCUGCGGCUUAUUCGGGAGGAGUAGUAAUCAGUCUCAACCAUGGCUGAGCCCCUUUAUUUUUUUAACCAAUCGAUUUUUUCAACUUUUUUUCUUUUAUUGAUUCGAUUCAGUUCGAAUGAAUAGAGGAGCACAUUUUCAAUUGGAAAGCUUCAAACCUUUCUAAUUUUAAUGUAAAACACAACUCUUAACAGCGGAUAUCUCGGUUCUC